rnacentral:rRNA from 1 species
GACGAACGCUGGCGGCGUGCUUAACACAUGCAAGUCGAACGGAAAGGCCCUGCUUUUGUGGGGUGCUCGAGUGGCGAACGGGUGAGUAACACGUGAGUAACCUGCCCUUGACUUUGGGAUAACUUCAGGAAACUGGGGCUAAUACCGGAUAGGAGCUCCUGCUGCAUGGUGGGGGUUGGAAAGUUUCGGCGGUUGGGGAUGGACUCGCGGCUUAUCAGCUUGUUGGUGGGGUAGUGGCUUACCAAGGCUUUGACGGGUAGCCGGCCUGAGAGGGUGACCGGCCACAUUGGGACUGAGAUACGGCCCAGACUCCUACGGGAGGCAGCAGUGGGGAAUAUUGCACAAUGGGCGGAAGCCUGAUGCAGCAACGCCGCGUGCGGGAUGACGGCCUUCGGGUUGUAAACCGCUUUCGCCUGUGACGAAGCGUGAGUGACGGUAAUGGGUAAAGAAGCACCGGCUAACUACGUGCCAGCAGCCGCGGUGAUACGUAGGGUGCGAGCGUUGUCCGGAUUUAUUGGGCGUAAGGGCUCGUAGGUGGUUGAUCGCGUCGGAAGUGUAAUCUUGGGGCUUAACCCUGAGCGUGCUUUCGAUACGGGUUGACUUGAGGAAGGUAGGGGAGAAUGGAAUUCCUGGUGGAGCGGUGGAAUGCGCAGAUAUCAGGAGGAACACCAGUGGCGAAGGCGGUUCUCUGGGCCUUUCCUGACGCUGAGGAGCGAAAGCGUGGGGAGCGAACAGGCCUAGAUACCCUGGUAGUCCACGCUGUAAACGGUGGGUACUAGGUGUGGGGUCCAUUCCACGGGUUCCGUGCCGUAGCUAACGCUUUAAGUACCCCGCCUGGGGAGUACGGCCGCAAGGCUAAAACUCAAAGGAAUUGACGGGGCCCCGCACAAGCGGCGGAGCAUGCGGAUUAAUUCGAUGCAACGCGUAGAACCUUACCUGGGUUUGACAUGGAUCGGGAGUGCUCAGAGAUGGGUGUGCCUCUUUUGGGGUCGGUUCACAGGUGGUGCAUGGCUGUCGUCAGCUCGUGUCGUGAGAUGUUGGGUUAAGUCCCGCAACGAGCGCAACCCUUGUUCACUGUUGCCAGCACGUUAUGGUGGGGACUCAGUGGAGACCGCCGGGGUCAACUCGGAGGAAGGUGGGGAUGACGUCAAGUCAUCAUGCCCCUUAUGUCCAGGGCUUCACGCAUGCUACAAUGGCUGGUACAGAGAGUGGCGAGCCUGUGAGGGUGAGCGAAUCUCGGAAAGCCGGUCUCAGUUCGGAUUGGGGUCUGCAACUCGACCUCAUGAAGUCGGAGUCGCUAGUAAUCGCAGAUCAGCAACGCUGCGGUGAAUACGUUCCCGGGGCU